AUGUCUGGGCUUCUGUGCCCGCUGUGGCCUUCCCGGACGCCCCAGCCUGCUCUCGCUCUCCGCAGGCCCCACGCAGGCCCCACGCCCGGGGCUGCCCCUGCCCCAGGUGGCCCUCCCCUGACGCCCCUGCCCGCCCUCACUCCCCACACAGGCCUCGAUGCCCCGGCGCCUGUGCCCUGGGCUGCCCCUGCGGGCCCUGCCGGGGGCCCCGGGCCCGGCUCUCGGCGGGUGCUUGUGCAGACUGAGGGGUCCUCGCUGUGGCUCAGGGCGGCGGCCUUCCCCGCCGGGACCCCCACUCGGGAGGACGCGCUCAUCCCUCGCCUCCGGCGGGCUCGGGGUUCUGGGCGUCCCCGGGGUCCCGGCCCCGCGAUGGUGGGCGGGGAGGCCCUGGCCACAGCGGCGCUCUCCGCGGGGGGGGCCUCCGGGGCCGCGCUGCUGGGGUGCAGGGGUGUCGCCCUCCCGAGACGGCAGUCGGCCCGUCGGGCGGCGGCUGGGGCCUCUGGGGCGGAGGAAACGCGGCCUAGACAAAGGGCUGCUGCGGGACCCACCGGGGACUGCCCGCCCGCGCCCACCAGCGCCGCGCGACCCCGCUCCGGGCGCCCGCGGAGACGGGCGGGGCCUCGAGCUGGCUCAGUGCGCGUGCGGCGAGGGGCGGGGCGAGCGCGGGCCGGGGCGGGGCCGCGGGCUGCUCCCACUGCGCGUGCGGCGAGGGGCGGGGCGAGCGCGGGCCGGGGGCGGGGCCGCGGGCUGCUCCCACUGCGCGUGCGGCGAGGGGCGGGGCGAGCGCGGGCCGGGGGGCGGGGCGGCGCGCGGCACCCACCGCGCGUGCGCAGGGCCUCGGCGUCGCGCGCGCUCCCGCCGGUUGGCCGCCUCCUCGGAGGCCGCCGCCGACACCGCCGCCCCCGCCGCCCCCGCCGCCCUCGCCCCCGCCCCCGCCCCGGCCCGCGCACGCGCCCCCCGCCCCGGCCCGCGCCCCUCGCCUCGCCGCCUCCCCGGCCUCCGGGCCUCCGGGCCUCCCGGCGCCCCGGCCUCCCGGCGCGGCCCCGCAGCAUGCAGCAGCAGCACCCGCGGCGGUGGCGGCGGCGGCGGCGGCUGUGA
rnacentral:lncRNA from 1 species